rnacentral:rRNA from 1 species
UCGAGGAUCUUCGGCAAUGGGCGCAAGCCUGACCGAGCGACGCCGCGUGCGCGAUGAAGGCCUUCGGGUUGUAAACCGCUGUCGAGGGGGAGAAAGCCGAAAGGUUGAUCUAUCCCUGGAGGAAGCACGGGCUAAGUUCGUGCCAGCAGCCGCGGUAAGACGAACCGUGCGAACGUUGUUCGGAUUCACUGGGCUUAAAGGGCGCGUAGGCGGGCUACCAAGUCAGGGGUGAAAUCUUUCGGCUCAACCGGAAAAGUGCCCCUGAUACUGGUAGUCUUGAGGGAGGUAGGGGCAUGUGGAACUUCCGGUGGAGCGGUGAAAUGCGUAGAUAUCGGAAGGAACGCCGGUGGCGAAAGCGACGUGCUGGCCCUCUUCUGACGCUGAGGCGCGAAAGCUAGGGGAGCGAACGGGAUUAGAUACCCGCGUAGUCC